rnacentral:rRNA from 1 species
AGAGUUUGAUCCUGGCUCAGGAUGAAUGCUGGCGGCGUUGGAUAAGGCAUGCAAGUCAAGGGGACCGCAAGGUAACCGGCAGACGAGGUAGUAACACGUAGGUACUCCCCCCGAAGUCUGGCAUAGCUCGUCGAAAGACGGGGUAAUUCCAGAUGGUCACGAAAGUGUAAAGAUUUAUCGCUUCGGGAGAGGCCUGCGCAAUAUCAGCUAGUUGGUGAGGUAACGGCUCACCAAGGCUACGACGUUUAGGGGCGCUGAGAGGCGGACCCCCACCGAUGGGACUGAGACACGGCCCAUACUCCUACGGGAGGCCGCAGUCGAGAAUCUUCCGCAAUGGGCGAAAGCCUGACGGAGCGACGCCGCGUGAUGGACGAAGUGCUUCGGCACGUAAACAUCUUUUAUGUGGGACGAAAUUUUUGACGGUACCACAUGAAUAAGGGGCUCCUAACUCUGUGCCAGCAGGAGCGGUAAUACAGAGGCCCCAAGCAUUAUCCGGAAUCACUGGGCGUAAAGGGUGUCGAGGCGGCUAUGUUAGUCUUCCGUAAAAUCCGUGGGCUCAACCUACGGACGGCGGGGGAAACGGCAUAGCUCGAGGUCAGAAGAGGUGCGUGGAACUCACGGUGUAGGGGUGAAAUCCGUUGAUAUCGUGGGGAACACCAAAGGCGAAGGCAGCGCACUGGUCUGCACCUGACGCUCACACACGAAAGCCAGGGGAGCGAACGGGAUUAGAUACCCCGGUAGU